UACAGAGGUCCCGAGCGUUGUUCGGAUUCAUUGGGCGUAAAGGGUGCGUAGGCGGCGGGGAAAGUCUGAUGUGAAAUCCUGGGGCUCAACCCUGGAACUGCAUUGGAUACUUCCUUGCUAGAGUACUGGAGAGGAAACUGGAAUUUACGGUGUAGCAGUGAAAUGCGUAGAGAUCGUAAGGAAGACCAGUGGCGAAGGCGAGUUUCUGGACAGUUCCUGACACUGAGACACGAAGGCCAGGGGAGCAAACGGG
rnacentral:rRNA from 1 species